AGGCGAAUGGAGUGCUGGACCAGUCACUGUCUUCUGUCCUAAGCCUACAGACAUUGCUUUCUGACCAAGCACCGACAUCUUUGUCAGCCAAGGCACCACUGGCCCCAACAUCUCCUCAAGUGCUGUCGACCAUGCCCAAUUCCUCAGAAACAUCAACUUCGUUCUCCUCCCGGGCACCUGUGUCCCAGCCCUCCACUCAAGUACAACCAAUUUUGCCGUCUUCUGGAGUUUCUUUGGUUGCAGUCUCAAGGCAGCCCCUCUCCUCCCACUCUAACCUAACUCCACAUGUGAUAACCAUUAAGGAACAGGCACCAGCUUCUCCUUUUACUGAGCAACCUAUAAUUAUACUGGAAGACUAAGAAGAGCCACCUGAGUCUCCACAACAUCCACCAGAGUUGCCUUUGGAUGAGACAGAUCUUCAGACCAUAUUAACAAAACUAUACAGCAAGGUUGAUAUGACUUUCUGUCCUACAAGCAACCAAAUAAAUGUGUGCAGGGACAGGAUUUUAGAAUGUAGCCUGCAUGCCUUCAGAAGACGCCGUUUUGAUCCAGCAGCAAAACUGGAUGUUAUUUUUGUGGAUGAGGAGGGCAGCGCUGAAGGGGCAGUUGAUGAAGGUGGUCCCACACGAGAAUAUCUAAGACUGUUAAUGAGGGCAAUUCAUCAAUCUAAUGUCUUUGAGGGGCACGAGAAUGACCGCCAUCUAGCUUUGGACACUAGUGGUCAGUAUUAUUAUUUAUUUAUUUUUCCCAAUUCUUAAGGAUGGAAACUGUCAAGUAACUUUUUUUUUCUUUAGUGUUGGAGUCAAAAAUGUACAACUGUAUUGGAAAAAUGAUAUYGGUCUGUUUGGUGCAUGGAGGCAUUGCACCACAUUUCUUCGCUCAAAGAUUGUAUGACCACAUUUGUGGCACAUUGUCUCAACCUACCCUGGUUGAGGAAGUUGUUAACCAUUCAUUCAGAGAGCAGUUGAUCAAAAUUCAGGAUGCAAACACAGUCGUGGAGGCAAAYGAAGCCAUUAUGCAGGCAGCAGAUACUCUGAGCAUUGUUGGAGCAUUAAGGAAGAGAGGGACUCCCUUGUGCAAUCUGCUGCAGACUUCUUUGUAAAUGGCCGAGUGUGCACUGCAUUGCAACAGUUUGUGGAAGGUUUGAAGACUCUCAAUGUGCUAGAUGAGAUUCAGAAAAACCCUGCAGUCUUUCAUGAAUUGUUUGUCUKUGAGGAGAAACCACUCUCGGCACGGGACCUGUGCACACUUUUCCAAGUGUGUUUUUCUGUGCAAGGCAGCAAUAAAAGGAGGAUAGAAAAUCAAACCAUAUGCUACUGGAGAGACUGGUUGGUGGAUAUUGAAGAAGGAGAAUGCAGUCCCGUUACCCUUGAAAUGAUACUGGAGUUCGCUUCCRGAGCAUCCACGGUGCYUCMACUGGGCUUUCCCCAUCGUCCACAAAUUGAAUUUCUCYAUGAGGCUAACAAAGUCUUCCCAGAAGCAAAUACUUGCCUUAUAGUACUCCGCCUUCCUGUACACUCAGACUAUGAGUCUUUCACAAAGUACAUG